rnacentral:rRNA from 1 species
AUUGAACGCUGGCGGCAUGCUUUACACAUGCAAGUCGAACGGUAACAGGCCUUCGGGUGCUGACGAGUGACGAACGGGUGAGUAAUGCAUCGGAACGUACCCAGAGGUGGGGGAUAACGCAGCGAAAGCUGUGCUAAUACCGCAUGUGAUCUGAGGAUGAAAGCGGGGGACCGAGCAGCAAUGUUUGGCCUCGCGCCUUUGGAGCGGCCGAUGUCGGAUUAGCUAGUUGGUGGGGUAAAGGCCUACCAAGGCGACGAUCCGUAGCUGGUCUGAGAGGACGACCAGCCACACUGGGACUGAGACACGGCCAGACUCCUACGGGAGGCAGCAGUGGGGAAUUUUGGGCAAUGGGCGCAAGCCUGAUCCAGCAAUGCCGCGUGCGGGAAGAAGGCCUUCGGGUUGUAAACCGCUUUUGGCAGGAACGAAACGGUGUCCGCUAAUACCGGGCGCUAAUGACGGUACCUGCAGAAUAAGCACCGGCUAACUACGUG